rnacentral:rRNA from 1 species
UGCAAGUCGAGCGGAGAGAGGUAGCUUGCUACUGAUCUUAGCGGCGGACGGGUGAGUAAUGCUUAGGAAUCUGCCUAUUAGUGGGGGACAACAUUUCGAAAGGAAUGCUAAUACCGCAUACGUCCUACGGGAGAAAGCAGGGGAUCUUCGGACCUUGCGCUAAUAGAUGAGCCUAAGUCGGAUUAGCUAGUUGGUGGGGUAAAGGCCUACCAAGGCGACGAUCUGUAGCGGGUCUGAGAGGAUGAUCCGCCACACUGGGACUGAGACACGGCCCAGACUCCUACGGGAGGCAGCAGUGGGGAAUAUUGGACAAUGGGCGCAAGCCUGAUCCAGCCAUGCCGCGUGUGUGAAGAAGGCCUUAUGGUUGUAAAGCACUUUAAGCGAGGAGGAGGCUACUUUAGUUAAUACCUAGAGAUAGUGGACGUUACUCGCAGAAUAAGCACCGGCUAACUCUGUGCCAGCAGCCGCGGUAAUACAGAGGGUGCAAGCGUUAAUCGGAUUUACUGGGCGUAAAGCGCGCGUAGGCGGCUAAUUAAGUCAAAUGUGAAAUCCCCGAGCUUAACUUGGGAAUUGCAUUCGAUACUGGUUAGCUAGAGUGUGGGAGAGGAUGGUAGAAUUCCAGGUGUAGCGGUGAAAUGCGUAGAGAUCUGGAGGAAUACCGAUGGCGAAGGCAGCCAUCUGGCCUAACACUGACGCUGAGGUGCGAAAGCAUGGGGAGCAAACAGGAUUA